UUGGACUUGAGCCUUUUGACUUGACAUGACUUGCUACUUUCCCCAAAACCCAAAGAUUAAAGAGUUAUUUGGGAGCGCGCCGCUCCGUAUUUUUCCUGUUCUUCGUCUGUGUCUAUCAGCGUGUUGUUCCUGUCAGCUGGUGUGCUCUCAGUACAACAGCCAAUCAAAUUAGAUCUACGCUAUUUUCAUCCCACAGCUCUCAUCCAAUCAAAUUGCAGGACAACCAAUGAAGAAGAAUGGUCAAACAAUGCGGCAGUGAGAAACAAUUAUGCCAAAGUUAAUUUCGUUCGGGUAUUAAAACUACGACUCGGUCAACAAAAAACGAAUAGCCCUAUGCAAAUCAUGCAGUUGGAAUAUUAUAGACGGAGACGUAACAACUUCCAACUUCGUUCGACAUUUGAAGAUGCACAAAGAAGGGAGUAGCUUGUCCCAUUCUGGCACGAUAAAGAAGAUAAUCCCCUGUAAUGCUCCAGGAAGCUGCGCAUUGUUGACCAACAGGGCGAUGAGGAUGGCGUAUGGGAGCAGAGCUGUGAGGACGUACUUGAAGAACUCCUGGCUGGCAGUGGAAGAGUUGCUGCUGUUUGUGGCGUGAUCGGUGCAGUUGGCCGUGUUCCAGGUGUUGUUGCAACUCUGCCACGGUAGCGGUGCUUGGAAGGAGCUGAACAGGUAGUACAGGGCCCAGGUAAUGACCACGUUGUAGUAUGUGCACAUGAUAAAGGAAAUGGCCACAGAUGCUAUUCCUACACCUGAGCGGGCAGACAAAA